ensembl:lncRNA
CUCUGGAGCAGCCCACCUGUCACCAGUGCACCUCUCAGUCCACAGGGGUGUGUCAUUAAUAUGUUGCAGCUGAUGCCUCCCUCUUUAAAACAGAGUGCUUGUUGCCUUGGUGACACACAGGGCUUGUCAGCUCAGACUCUGGAAUCCCUACAUCUAUCUCAAGUCUGUGGUCUCCCAUCUGACCACACUUUGCUCCGUUUGUAGUUAAUUAAGUUGGCAUUAAUCAAGACCCAGGUGAGGAGCUGAGAUAAUAUUUUGCUUGUAUUGCUUUAAUAUACAUCAGCUGAUUAAUUGUUAUGGUGUAAAGCAGUUCUCAAAAUAUAAGGCUGCUGAAUUAGAGAGAAAAUCCUGGUAAUUGCUUUAACCCAUUCCUGCACAUGGGAUCAGGGAGCUUCCUGCUUCCCUAUACCAAGUCACUUGUUUGAGAAUAAGACUGUUCUUGUUUGGUUUUUGAAUUUGAACAUUUGAAUUUCUUUGUAGCAAAUCAAAUUCCUCACCAAACUUGGUUAAGGAAGGCGUUUGGGGGUCAACAAUUUAUAUUUUGUAUCAUUUUUAGUUUGAGGAAUGCUUCUCUUUUCCCCCAGGGAGGUUGUGCCAGAUCUUGCAUCAAACAGUUGAAAGAUUUUGGUGGUGGUGUGGGGGGACAGCGGUGGAAUCAACGACAAAAAGUUACUGAUUAUGUGAGAAACGCAGCACAGAAUUAAAAUGGCCUUUUUUGAACUUCUUGUUGGGGGGUGGCCACAUAGCAGAAAAACAAUUUUAUUUGUAAAACUUGUUCUACGUUAAGUGUUUUUCAAGGUUCCCCUCAAGACCAAUAGUGGGAUGAGAUUACAUUGAUUCUCUUUUUAAAAAUGAAAUAGAAAAUAUCAGAGUACAUUGUAAGUGGUAAAGGUAUGUUUGGUGAAACUUUUGUUUCAGUUGUAUGAAUAUGUAUUAGGAUGUGUUUUGAAAAAAUUAAAAACCACUGUUUAGGAGUCUAGGUGUCUCAUCGUGAAUUAUUUGUUUUAAUGUUGGAAAAAGAAUAUGAAAAGGGCCUUAUCUGGUGAUUUUUCAGAGCGUGAUCUUGAUAUUGAGAGCCUUGUAAUACUAGAUUUUUUAUUUUCCCUAUGGAAAUUGUGUUUCGCUUUAUGUAGUUUAACAUCUCCAAAGCUCAUCCUCUCUUAGGUUAGACUGUGUCCUGUUUCCUCUAUGUCACUGGAGAGGGAAGGGUGCAGAUUUGCCUCCUGGGGGGUUUCACCUUCUCCCCGAGGCACGGGGACAGACGGGGAUAACUGGAGAGGGAGAGCAGUCAUCCCCCAGGUGUCUUCGAGUGGGUGGGUCUGGAGCUUUCUUCGUAGAACUUUGUUCACGGCGCUGGAGAAGUGAUGGUUCAGUCGAUUCCCUGUAGGGGAGCUUCUGGGUGUCGAUCCCGCGGGGGUGGCAUUCUAACCUCCGUUUUCAGAAGCAGCUGAGUUGCCUGAGGUCGCGCAGCUCAACUGGAGCGAGGUCAGCAGUGAGCGCGUCGUGAGUCAGCCCUGGGCGCAGCCCGCCCUGUUCUGCCGCUCGUGAGCUGGCGACGACCUGUCGGUCCUGCGGAGAGCGCUGGGGUUCCGCGGGACGGAAGCCCGCCCGAGCCCGCGUGGGAAACCAGCGAGCGGAGCUGGGCGUCGCGUGAACCGCAGCUGGGAGGGGCGGUGCUUCCGGGGCGGUCCUGGCCGGCCUGGCCCC